GUACUCCCUUGGGCAGCACAUAUGUUAAAGUGGAACAAUGCAGAGAAGGUCAGCACAGCCCCUCUGCAAGGAUGACAUGCAAAUUCAUGAGGCAUUCCAUACUUUU
rnacentral:snRNA from 1 species